UAAAGUAAAUACAAUUUGAAUGUUACACAUUGCUUUUCACUAAAAUCCUUCAAAUGUAUUUUAUAUUUAUUUAUUCCCGUUUUCUUUGAGUAAUAUGUUGAUUCUACUGUUCACUAUUUAGAGACUUUUAUUUUGACAUUUUCUUCUGGCGCUUUGCUGACGCCAUUUUCGAGUGACUGCGCGCCUCUCGCCAGUUCACAUUGGUUAUGCUGGGGAGAGGUUUGUCUUAUGAAACACCCACAAGAGAGAGAUAUGAACUUUAUUCAUAUUAAUCAACAGAUGGAGUGAAGUUAAUGCUGGCUCUGGCUGACAUUAAAUC